rnacentral:rRNA from 1 species
AUGGAUGGCCUUAGUGAUGGUGUGAAUCAUGCAGCAAGUUGUGAAGGAAAACAAGAGAUGAAGGAUACACCUAUCCCUGAAAGCAUUGGAGCCGGAGGAGAUGUAUUUUCUAUUCCGGUGUGCGAAGUCCCUGUUGUUGACGGAGCACGUGCAUCGAACAAGGACGCGAAGCCAGCUGUUGUUUCUGAAUUCCCGAAGGAUGCUGUAGUUGUGGACUCCCACCAGGGUGGUGAUGCUCAUGCUAGUGUAGCAGGCCCCAAGGAUGCAGGUGGUUUAAAUGUGUCUCAUGUGAUAGAUAAAUCAAAUGUUGAUAGUGGUGCAUCUGCUCCCGCCACACUUUCUGGGAUUCCUGUACAAGUACCUGAGGGGUUUGCUACGAAGUUGAAAGAUAUAAUUUCAAAAGCUGCGUUCCGUGGUAAUUACAGUACUGAGCCCCAGCCUAAAGUUGAACCCAACGUUGAUGAAGUUGGUGCCGAUGGUGCUUCCGAGGAGACAGAUAGUGAUGAAUUGGGAUUGUCAGUAAAUGAGAUAGAUUCAUCUCAAACAGUCUCCAGUUUUACGCAAACCCCGGCUACACCGGAAGCGGUGCAACGCAUGAAGGACUUAUACUUUGCUGUUAUGAGGUUAAGGACAAACAAGAAUAAAAAGGAUGAGGUACUGUUUGAGAAUGCGUUUUGCAAAGCAACUGUUAAGCAGGUUGCUGAGUCUUUCAGAGUUGGUGGCAUGCUGAACACUGCGGUUGCUAUUGUAGGAUUUUUUUUCUUCUUCAUUCGAAAUACCAAAAUUAUUCUAAGAUGGUGGCUCCAUUUCAUAUUUCGCAAUCUAUCUAGAAGGGGUCCUUUGAUAAUAGGCACUGGAUCAGGUUUUCCUCUGCCUAUGCCGAUGAGCCGCUGGAUAAGAAAGACAUUGUACUAUUUGGUGUCUUUGACCCUCCAGCUACCAAGGAAGGUGCGGGGCACUAUUGUGGUGUUGCGUUAA